rnacentral:lncRNA from 1 species
AAAUACUUUCAAAAUGGAAACAAAUUAAAAAGUUGACGAAGAGCCACCUACUUUCCAAGAAAAAUUAUUGGUGGCCGGUGAAGUUUUAGCGAAUGACAUGCACCAUCAUCAGUCCAUCACAACUUGUGAAGAUAACAAAGAUACACACAAAAUAGAUUUGCAAACUGAAAAGAGAGAACAUAUGUAGUGAAUAGGAAGAAGAAAGAAAGAAAUGUUUGAUGGGAGAAGAAAAAAUGCGGGCGAUAGCCAACCCGGAGACUGGCACCACUGCUGAGCAAAACAUAAAAUAAAAAGCAAACAGCUUCGACUGUGUAAUUAUAAUUUUUAAUAUCAAACAAAUAUUGAUAACAGGUUGUUAAUAUCAUGGUAUAUAAAAUAUAAAUUUUAAAUAAUUUUUAAAUUUUAUAUAGAUUAUUUUUAAAAUUUAAUUAAUAUUGUAAUAAGCCCAAUUGUCCAGGCUUGCAUACGAGCCCAAUACAACAAAAGUUUAAGCAACAGCAGGCCCAAUAACGGGCCCAAUAGCCAAUUUCAACCUUAGUCCAGCAAAACCAUUUGCUGAAACCCUAAGAGCCUCCAUACGCCCUAGCCUGUAACACCCCCUAACCCCAAACCGUCACCGAAACAAGGUUAUGGAGUAUUACCAGACAUAUCGGAUAACUUAUAACUAAUUCACAAUUAAAUAACAGAUAUAGCAUACUUGUAUCAAAUAUGUCAUAUUAGUUCCAUUUCAUACUUAUAACCAAUUUAAACAUCAUUCUACAACCGUAAUAACAAAACUUUUAUUCUUAACCUAUACAUCACCUAGGUACAUGCCACAUUAUCAAACAAAGGUACAUAACUAAAAUUUCUCUGAGUUCGGGAUUGCUCUGGAUACUGGACCGGAUACUGGCUUUCUACUAACCUGCGCACGGAGACAACCGCACGCUGAGUAUAGAAAUACUCAGUGGUAUUACCAUAAUUCAAAUUAAUAACAUUAAUCGAUAAAUUAUAUACAUUUAAAUUUAUGUCUACAAUUAUUCAAUACAUUUUCUCGUACUUUAAAUCAACCUGAUAAUUAAUAACAAUAAGCAAUAUUUCAAAUCUUGUAUUUAGUUGUAUUCAUACCUUAUUUCACUAUCUCAAUUCUAUUGGAUUUUUCGACAUCUCAUUCUAAUAAUUCAUUCCAAUUCAUACAAAUUCAAUCAAUUUAUCAACUCAUUCAUUAUCAUUUCUAUUUAUAAUCAAUAUGUAUUGUAAAUCUUUUAACACUCAAUUUAUUCAUUAAAUCCAUAACUAAAUUUCAAUAACUUGUAUUCAGUUAAAUUCACAUAUUAUUUCACUCUUUCAAAUUAUUUUAUUUUCACUUCUCACUUCUUAACAAUAGCUAUUUCAAUUCAUAUUCAAGAUCAUUCAAUAAAAAUUUAUAUUAUCAAAAUUAUUCAUUUACCCCUAUUAACUUGACUCAGAUCUUGGCGGAUACACGGAUCCAACCAAAACACACCAAUACGGCACAUUAUGCCUAAAACGGUACAUAUAAACUUUAUAAGACUUACCUUAACACAUUAAUGAUUCACUUUUGUCCACAGCUUAUAAUCUUAGCCCAAAUUAGAUUUUACAGAACACCCCGGAUAUACGGAACAAAUACAGAGAGCACAAAUGUGCUAAACAGAGAGCACUGCCGUGCUAUAUAUCAGAGAGCACCAACGUGCUAAUAAUCAGAGAGCACCAACGUGCUGAUAUCAGAGAGCACCAACGUGCUAAUAUCAGAGAGCGCGCUAAAGUUCCUUAAUAAGUUCCUUAAUGGCAUGCCACUAAUAUCCUGGUAGUUCUAAAUUCCAUCUACUUGGGCAUUAAAUCUGAACCUCAUUUAUUUAAAUACUUUACAAAAUUAUUUCAAAAAGGAUUUAUCAUUUCUCCGUCAUUACAAUUUACUACUUAUUCCACCAUUCACAUAUAUCACACUUAUUCACAAUUUAAUUCACUUUUAUUCCAUUCAUAUAUAUAUUUUUAAUUCAUUUUCCAAUCGAAUUCAUGUACAAUUCAAUAUCAAUAUUCAUCUUUUUUUUUUAAUACUAAACAUAUUAUUCAAAAUUCAACAAUUACUAUUAAUAAAUUCAAUACCAAUACGUAUUUAUCAUUCAAUUCAGUCGUGAUGCUUACCUCAAUUUGCUUAUCAUGUAUAUUAAUUUAAAAUUUAACAAUUAAUAAUUAAAUUCGAAUUAUAGUAAUACUAACCGAAAUUUCUCCCGAGUCAAUCCUUGUCCACCUUCUCCUUUCCUUUCUCGGACAAUGACUCGUACACGACAUUAGCUACGUAAUUAAACAAUUAAAAAUCAUUAAUACUCAGUUUCAUCAAAAUAUUUUCUUUUAUACCUAAACUUUACCCAAAUUCUAAUUUAAUCCCUUAUCAAUACUAAUUUUAUUUUUCCCAAUCUAACUCUAUAUUCUCUCUUAAUUCUUACUAUAAACUCAUUUUAACUCUUCAAUUUCACCAUAAAUCCCUAAUUUCGAAAUUCUCUCAAUUUAGUCCCUACUAUUCAAAACUUACACUUUAUUUUACAAUUAAAUCCUUUACUAACUUCUAACUUGAAAUUCAAUCAAUUUAACCCCCUAACACUUCAAUUUAUUCAACAUGAACAUCAUCUAAUAAUCUACUAACUUUCAAAAUAUCAACAUAAAUCAAGUAGUAUUUAUCUCUAGGAUUCCAAAAACUUCAAAACUAAGAGAAAAGGGAUUAAAUUGACUUACCAAAUUAACUCUGAACCUUAAAACCCCAAAUUUCUCUUUUUCUUUUUCUUUCUUUCUUUCCUUCCUUCCUUCUCUGUUUCGUUUUGCUCUCUGUUUCUUUCUUUCUCCCUUCUCUGUUUUGUUUUGCUCUCUGUUUCUU